AAAGAAACAGCAUUAACACAGUUAUGCUUUUCAAAGAAAGAUUACCAUUAUUGUGAAGCACUACUAAUUCUUUCAACACUUUUAGCUCAAAUUGAAGUAAAUUUCACAUCCGAAAAGCAUAGGAGCACUUCAAAAUGGAAACUAGAGAGUGAAAAACGAGCUUCACUUACUUGCGAUCGCAAAGUACAAGAGAACCACCAUCGAAACAUAUGAAGCAAACAUCUUCGUCCUCUUCUCGCGGUUUCUUUGGCGGCGGAAGUUUUGCCAGAGUCGUCUGGAAACGAGGCGGCCGCCCUCGCUUCCGUUUCUCGACGCCGUCGCCGAUCAGGUUUGCAACUGAAGUCGCCGGCGGAGGUUUUGCCACCGUCGUGUGGAAACGAGGCGGCCGCCCUCGCUUCCGCUUCUCGACGCCGUCGCCGAUCACGUCUGCAACUGAAGUCCUGCCAUCUACAGCUACCGUAAUCGGAGCACCUCCGGUGA
rnacentral:lncRNA from 1 species